rnacentral:lncRNA from 1 species
AAUUUCCCUGCAUUCAUCCUACCUUUUCUAUCAAUCCCACAAGCCUUUGGCACAAUGAAGUGGGUAACCUUUAUUUCCCUUCUCUUUCUCUUCAGCUCUGCUUAUUCCAGGGGUGUGUUUCAUUGAGAAGCAGACAAAAGUGAGAUUAUUACUCGAUUUAAAGGACUGGGAGAGCAACAUUUCAAAGGCCUGGUACUGCUUACCUUUUCUCAGUAUCUCCAGAUGACUGCAUAUGAUGAUCUUGCAAAAUUCACAACUGAAGUGAUUGACUUGGCAAAAGCAUGUGUUGCUGAUGAUUCAGGGGCAGAUGGUAACAAACCACUUGAUACUAUCUUUGGAGAGAAAACAUGCACAAUUGCCACUCUUCGUGAUACCUAUGGUGAGAUGGCUGACUGCUGUAAUAAACAAGAGUUGAGAGAUACCAUUGCCUUGUAAAGUAUAAAGAUGAGAAGCUCAACCUCCCUCCACUUGA